rnacentral:rRNA from 1 species
AUGACGUCCCAAUUUGAACAGCGGGGGAGUGUCAGGACCCAGUUGCAGUGUUCUCUCUGUUUUCGUGAUUCAGUUGAAUUCAGACUUCUAACCAUGGGCGUGAAGUUGUGGGAACCGUCCAUCUUCCAUCCAACGCUCCUGGUGGCUUCGUACCGCUUCGGCAAGCUACAGAAGAUGUGGUGCGUUGAUCUUCCAUCGCACGGCUCUGGGUGGUCAAGGCGUCGCUGUUGA